rnacentral:piRNA from 1 species
UCAGCCUGAUGUCUCUUGUGGACCUGUG